rnacentral:rRNA from 1 species
CCCAAACCGGAAACUUGUUUCCGGGGUUGUGGACAUAGCAUAGAAGUGGAGGCUAUUGUAACUGAAGAGAACUGGAAAGUUCCACCGUAGAAGGUAAUAGUCCUGUAAGUGAAACGAGAAGACCACGAGUUAUGAUCCAGAGUACCACGAGACACGUGAAACCUUGUGGGAAGCAGGGAGGACCACCUCCCAAGGCUAAAUACUACCUGAUGACCGAUAGUGAAGCAGUACCGUGAGGGAAAGGUGAAAAGAACCCCGGGAGGGGAGUGAAAUAGAACCUGAAACCGUGUGCCUACAACCGCUCAGAGCCCCUUAUGAGGGUGAUGAGGUGCUUUUUGUAGAACGAGCCAACGAGUUACGGUAUGUAGCAAGGUUAAGUACUUAAGGUACGGAGCCGAAGGGAAACCGAGUCUGAAUAGGGCGACUAGUUGCAUGCCGUAGACCCGAAACCGGGUGACCUAUCCAUGGCCAGGUUGAAGCGAGGGUAAAACCUCGUGGAGGACCGAACCACGUUGCUGUUGAAAAAGCAUGGGAUGAGCUGUGGAUAGCGGAGAAAUUCCAAUCGAACCCGGAGAUAGCUGGUUCUCUCCGAAAUAGCUUUAGGGCUAGCGUCGAGUAUGAGUAGUGGAGGUAGAGCACUGAAUGGGCUAGGGGGCAUAGCGCUUACCGAACCUUAUCAAACUCCGAAUGCCACAUACUUUGAGCUCGGCAGUCAGACUACGAAUGAUAAGAUCCGUGGUCAAAAGGGAAACAGCCCAGAUCGUCAGCUAAGGUCCCAAAGUGUAAGUUAAGUGGGAAAGGAUGUGAGAUUUCUAAGACAACUAGGAUGUUGGCUUAGAAGCAGCCAUUCAUUAAAAGAGUGCGUAAUAGCUCACUAGUCGAGAGAUCUUGCGCCGAAAAUGUAACGGGGCUAAACUUACCACCGAA